CGGGUUCAAUUAGCGAAACAAAGCAAUCAUGGCGGAGCGAGCACACCGGGCUGCGCGCCCCGAGGACUCGGCGACCGCCCCGCGCCCUGGCCGACAUAUGAGAUGAUUGCCCUCCUGAGAACAUCUAACUGCCACUCCAGAAUGAGAUGAGUAAGGACCUACCAGUUUGGACUUCUUCCAGGAGCAGAAAACCAAUUAUAAAUAUGAAACAGAUUUCACUACUGGAACCAAAUUUCACAUCCAAAAACAACAAACUUCUCAACCAAGAGUAUCUGCAAUACAAACAGCAAGAUC